rnacentral:lncRNA from 1 species
GAUAAAUAAUUAACAAUAAUCUCUAAUGCAAAAAUUACUUUUGAAAUUAAAUAGAAAAAUAAAAUCCGUUAGGAAAUAAAUUUUUGAAAUUAAAUAGAAAAAUAAAAUCCGUUAUCUUAAAAAGAAAAUAUAUUUUGAAAUUAAAUAGAUAAUAUCUAAAAAAGAUAUUUUAAAAUAAAAUAGGAAAAUAUCUUUUAUAGAAUUUUCACACCCGUAAUCUGUUAUAGAAAACUUACUUUUGAAAUUAAAUAAGAAAAUUUAUUUUUUAGGAUUUUCACAUCAGUAAUCUGUUAUAGAGAACUUACGUAUUCAUUGCGGUUUCUAUUUCUAUUUUUAUUCUUAUGUUUAAAAUUUUUCGUACGGAAAGAAAAAAAUGGGUCUGUCGACAGACCCAAAUUUGAAUAUACGUGCUUAUAUAUAUAUAUUUGAGUCCGGCUACUAUAUUCUUAUGAGUAUAAACCUUUUUGUACUUAUACGUUUUUGACCGUUAGAUAUAUCUCUUUGACAAUUUUCACCCGUUAGAUCAUACUCUUCAACCAACCACAAACUCAAUCCUAGGGACCACUAUUGUCAUAACCGAAAACCACUAUCAUCCUAACCGUAUAUUUUUUUCAUCCAACGGUUGAAAAUUUAUGAGUACAAAGAGAUCUAUACUCAUAAGAGUACAGUAAUCCUAACUUGUAUAUAUAUUUCUAAACUUUGGUCCAUUUUGAUUCAAUUAUUUAAUCUUUUAAAAAUUUAAUUUUGGUACUCAAUUUUUUAAUUUAUCUAAUUUAAACUAUUU